UUCUCCUACCACUGGACC
rnacentral:snRNA from 1 species